rnacentral:rRNA from 1 species
AUGUGUUUUCAAUUGGGAGCUCUCCACUCGAAAGAUACCUCAACGCCCAGCCACCUCUUCACCACCACACGCCAGUCAGCGCACGAGGCAGCGGAACUGGGUUUGUCUUCGUCCAGGGAAGUGAAGGCUCAGUUAGUGAUUUGUCUCGGGCAUUUUCAUCAAAAAGGGAGCACUUGUGAGCGGCUACCACCAGGAGGUGACCAGUACACGAGCAGCUGCAUACGACAAGAGGAGAGGCACACAAAUGACGUAAUAUUCAGCAUUUGCAGCACAUAUGUUGCACAUUCUGGAGUUUGUGCCUGCAAAGUGAAUGGGUAG